ensembl:lncRNA
AAAAAGCCGGGAGCAUGUGGCCAUGUCUGGGCAGAAUCCACCAGUCAUGCAAAGAGGACCAUACACUGUAGCACUCAGCAGAAGAGGAAAGAUGGGAACAGAAAGGUAAGCAGCAAGAAUGAUUUUCUGAACAUUGUCAACAUAAGCUCUGUUCAUGUUCCUCCCUCUGCCUGCCGUUCUCUCUUGUUGAAGCAGCACGCCUUGCUGUGGCUGGUCAAAUGGAACCAAGUCAGGUGUUUCUGCAAGAUGGACAAGCAGUGUUUUUACAGGACAAGUGCUCUCAAGCAUCACUGACACUGCUGUGUAACAAACAGAGAAGAGAUGAGACUGCCAGAGGUUCGGAGAUUGAAUGAGAAGAGCAAGGUCACUCCUUCUCCGACUGUUUAUGGAUUAUAACCCAAGUCUGAAAUGAUCUGCUUGGUUUUAUUGGAUACAGUACAGCAGAAGCAGGCAGACACCUACCUUUGUCUCUGUUUCAAUAACUAUUCUUAAACUAGAAACAUUAAUUAAUUGUAUAAGACUGGUUCUCAACUGGUUCUGCAUCGUAAUGACAACAACACAAUAUCAAAACUGUUUGUUCAGCAAAAGUAACAAAAAUGUUACUAAACCGUUAAAAACUACUCACCCUCAGGUCAUCCAAGAUGUAGAUGAGUUUGUUUCUUUAUCAGAACAGAUUUGAAGAAAUUUAGCAUUGCAUCAGUUGCUCACCAAUGGAUCCUUUGCAGUGAAUGGGUGCCGUCAGAAUGAGAGUCCAAACAGCUGAUAAAAACAUCACAAUAAUCCACAAGUAAUACACACCACUCCAAGCACAGAUCAAGCAUUGCUUAUAAGAGAAAACAGUAUUUAAAAAAACAGUAACUGUUGGUGGAUUUUGAUGUGAGAAGACAACACACUGUAAAUCCCAGCUCAUCCAUUACACAAAAUUUUAGUGUAGGGUGUACACAAAUAUUCAAAAAAAUAAAAAAAAUAAUUUUGUACACUUCUUGCAAAAACACAUCCCAUAUUAGCUUGAUAUAUGUUUUAAUGUAAGUUAACAAGUGUUGAUUUCGGAGUUAACUGUACUAAAAUGUAUAAAGCCUAAUGUGUAUGUAUUCAUUGUUUUUAUCUUAAAAGGUAUUCUCACCAAAUAUCCUGAGGUAAAAUUGAUGAAUAAAUAAAGUGAUGAGUGUUUAUUUAUUUAUUUAUUUAUUUAUUGUGUUUAAUGUAUUACUG